rnacentral:misc_RNA from 1 species
CGAUCGUGAUAUUGAGUACACGAGAUCAGCAGUGGUUUCAACAGAUAUACAAAGGGAUGCAUCUGUUUAGCUUUCUUUUGGUCUUUAUCUUGGGAUUAGAACAUCUCUACGGCGUUGUAGCGGUUAUUCAGAAUAAUGAUGUUGAGGAAAUCAAGGAUCGACACAGACGUUCCGUGUCGACUGAUAGACGGUCAGAAAUCAGGGACAUAUCCCCCGAGGACCGACCAUCAUGUCCCCCGGGACAGAUAUACCCUCCAAACAGAGUCAAUUCCACCCAAAGACUGAGAGAUUUGAGGGACGAGAUGAGAAAAAUAGGGAUAGAUGCUUACAUCAUUCCGUCGGGAGAUGCUCAUCAGAGUGAGUACACGUCUCCGUACGAUCAGAGAAGGAGAUUUAUCUGUGGAUUAUCAGGAUCAGCGGGAUACGCAAUUGUGACUAUGGCAAAUGCUGCUCUUUGGACUGACGGCCGGUACUUCCUGCAGGCGGAAGCGGAAAUGGACUGUAACUGGAUUUUAAUGAAAAGAGGUGAAAAAGGUGUGCCGUCCUCUACAGAGUGGUUGAUAUCCGUUCUAGAGGGAAUAGAAGACGCAACAGUUGGAUCUUACCCUUAUCUACUUGGCAGUCGCAGUUGGACCAAUUACGAAAAGGAACUCUCUAAAAAUAACAUUACAUUGGUCAAGACCAAUGAGGACCUGGUAGGAAACAUCUGGACUAGUGGGCGACCAUCUUUCCCAAAUUCUCCAAUUAACGCUCUGCCUUACAAAUUUGCAGGUCGACACUGGCAGGAGAAAAUGGCCGACAUGCACGUGGCGAUGAAGACAAAGGAGGCUGACGCAAUGGUUGUCUCUGGACUUGACGAAACUGCUUGGUUACUUAACCUCCGAGCCUCAGAUAUUCCAUUUACACCUGUUUUCUUUUCCUAUGUUAUUGUCGAUCGUAAGAAGAACCAGACAAUAUUGUACAUAAAAAAUCACAAUACCAAACUAACCUCUAAUCCCACUGAGGAGGAAACGACUCAGAAACUGUACGAGCACCUAAAUACCGGAACAGAUGGUUCUUGUUCCGGUAAACCCGGAUAUUGUGUUGAGGUUAGAGAAUAUGACCCGGUAGCAGUGACAGACAAAGUGAGCUCCGUUGUCGAAUACAGUGAGAGAGUGUGGAUCUCGCCGAUCUGUAGUUAUGCUUUCUAUUCUCUCAUUCCUAAGGAAAAACUGCUUCAGGAAAACACACCAAUAAGUGUUCAAAAAGCCCGGAAAAAUCCAAUCGAGAGGCAAGGAAUGAUUAAAUCGCACGUACGAGAUGCUGUUGCAUUGAUAUCAUUCGUUGCCAGACUGGAGAAAGAGGUUAAAGCAGGCGUGCGUUGGACAGAACUUUCUGCGGCUGACAAAUUAACUGAAUACAGAGGAAAACAAAUGUACAAUCGCGGACUGAGUUUUGAAACAAUAUCAUCAAGUGGUUCAAACGGCGCAAUAAUUCAUUAUGCACCUUCCAACUUGACAGACAAGGAAAUUACAACAGAUGACGUUUAUCUAUUGGACUCAGGCGGACAGUAUUUAGAUGGAACAACAGAUGUGACUAGGACAUUUCAUUUUGGAUCUGCAACAGAUUUUCAGAAAGUAUUUAAGAAAUAAGAUCUUAUGUUCAAUAUGUAUUCGUUAAUAAUAUGAUUUGCUUAUUUUAUAAUUUUGAAUACAAUAUGUAUUCAAGACACAACAUUUUUAGAUUUUAUUACAGAAACGUGUUACAUGCCUAGAGUCUGUCCCAAGAUAUUUAUGCAACACAUUUGGACGAUUUUUCAUAAAAAAAUAUACAUACAUGUACCUGUGCAAAAAUUGCAAUUAAAUUCAAUGAGAUCGGAAAUUUCCAAAAUAUCUUC